AGUCAGAACAUGGGUGAUAAGGUCCGUGUUCGAAAGGGAAACAGCCCAGACCACCAGCUAAGGUCCCAAAAUAUAUGUUAAGUGGAAAAGGAUGUGGCGUUGCCCAGACAACUAGGAUGUUGGCUUAGAAGCAGCCAUCAUUUAAAGAGUGCGUAAUAGCUCACUAGUCGAGUGACACUGCGCCGAAAAUGUACCGGGGCUAAACAUAUUACCGAAGCUGUGGAUUGUCCUUUGGACAAUGGUAGGAGAGCGUUCUAAGGGCGUCGAAGCAUGAUCGCAAGGACAUGUGGAGCGCUUAGAAGUGAGAAUGCCGGUGUGAGUAGCGAAAGACGGGUGAGAAUCCCGUCCACCGAUUGACUAAGGUUUCCAGAGGAAGGCUCGUCCGCUCUGGGUUAGUCGGGUCCUAAGCUGAGGCCGACAGGCGUAGGCGAUGGAUAACAGGUUGAUAUUCCUGUACCACCUAGUAUCGUUUUAAUCGAUGGGGGGACGCAGUAGGAUAGGCGAAGCGUGCUGUUGGAGUGCACGUCCAAGCAGUAAGGCUGAGUGUUAGGCAAAUCCGGCACUCAUAAGGCUGAGCUGUGAUGGGGAGAGGAAAUUGUUUCCUCGAGUCGUUGAUUUCACACUGCCGAGAAAAGCCUCUAGAUAGAUAACAGGUGCCCGUACCGCAAACCGACACAGGUAGUCAAGAUGAGAAUUCUAAGGUGAGCGAGCGAACUCUCGUUAAGGAACUCGGCAAAAUGACCCCGUAACUUCGGGAGAAGGGGUGCUCUUUAGGGUUCACGCCCAGAAGAGCCGCAGUGAAUAGGCCCAAGCGACUGUUUAUCAAAAACACAGGUCUCUGCUAAACCGUAAGGUGAUGUAUAGGGGCUGACGCCUGCCCGGUGCUGGAAGGUUAAGAGGAGUGGUUAGCUUCUGCGAAGCUACGAAUCGAAGCCCCAGUAAACGGCGGCCGUAACUAUAACGGUCCUAAGGUAGCGAAAUUCCUUGUCGGGUAAGUUCCGACCCGCACGAAAGGCGUAACGAUUUGGGCACUGUCUCAACGAGAGACUCGGUGAAAUCAUAGUACCUGUGAAGAUGCAGGUUACCCGCGACAGGACGGAAAGACCCCGUGGAGCUUUACUGUAGCCUGAUAUUGAAAUUCGGCACAGCUUGUACAGGAUAGGUAGGAGCCUUUGAAACGUGAGCGCUAGCUUACGUGGAGGCGUUGGUGGGAUACUACCCUAGCUGUGUUGGCUUUCUAACCCGCACCACUUAUCGUGGUGGGAGACAGUGUCAGGCGGGCAGUUUGACUGGGGCGGUCGCCUCCUAAAAGGUAACGGAGGCGCUCAAAGGUUCCCUCAGAAUGGUUGGAAAUCAUUCAUAGAGUGUAAAGGCAUAAGGGAGCUUGACUGCGAGACCUACAAGUCGAGCAGGGUCGAAAGACGGACUUAGUGAUCCGGUGGUUCCGCAUGGAAGGGCCAUCGCUCAACGGAUAAAAGCUACCCCGGGGAUAACAGGCUUAUCUCCCCCAAGAGUUCACAUCGACGGGGAGGUUUGGCACCUCGAUGUCGGCUCAUCGCAUCCUGGGGCUGUAGUCGGUCCCAAGGGUUGGGCUGUUCGCCCAUUAAAGCGGUACGCGAGCUGGGUUCAGAACGUCGUGAGACAGUUCGGUCCCUAUCCGUCGUGGGCGUAGGAAAUUUGAGAGGAGCUGUCCUUAGUACGAGAGGACCGGGAUGGACAUACCUCUGGUGUACCAGUUGUCGUGCCAACGGCAUAGCUGGGUAGCUAUGUAUGGACGGGAUAAGUGCUGAAAGCAUCUAAGCAUGAAGCCCCCCUCAAGAUGAGAUUUCCCAACUUCGGUUAUAAGAUCCCUCGAAGAUGACGAGGUUAAUAGGUUCGAGGUGGAAGCGUGGUGACACGUGGAGCUGACGAAUACUAAUCGAUCGAAGACUUAAUCAAUUUUUAAA
rnacentral:rRNA from 1 species